rnacentral:rRNA from 1 species
AACGAACGCUGGCGGCAUGCCUAACACAUGCAAGUCGAACGAAGGCUUCGGCCUUAGUGGCGCACGGGUGCGUAACGCGUGGGAAUCUGCCCCUCGGUUCGGAAUAACAGUUAGAAAUGACUGCUAAUACCGGAUGAUGACUUCGGUCCAAAGAUUUAUCGCCGAGGGAUGAGCCCGCGUAAGAUUAGGUAGUUGGUGGGGUAAAGGCCUACCAAGCAGACGAUUUUUAGCUGGUCUGAGAGGAUGAUCAGCCGCACUGGGACUGAGACACGGCCCAGACUCGUACGGGAGGGAGCAGUGGGGAAUAUUGGACAAUGGGCGAAAGCCUGAUCCAGCAAUGCCGCGUGAGUGAUGAAGGCCUUAGGGUUGUAAAGCUCUUUUACCAGGGAUGAUAAUGACAGUACCUGGAGAAUAAGCUCCGGCUAACUCCGUGCCAGCCGCCGCCGUAA